rnacentral:lncRNA from 1 species
ACACAGCCUUCCCUCAGGGUAAUUCCACAGCUUACACACAAAGCUUCCCUCGUGUAAUUCCAUUCAGCUACACACAGCCUUCCCUCAGG